GCGCGUAGCCGUUUUUCCGGGGAAAUCCGCGAACCGCUCGCCCUGCACUCCGUCGCCGAUACGUUAUAACCGCGCGCGCUUAUCGCGGUCACAUACUCGACUACACACGGCUACGGCGGAGUUUGACCCCAACCGUGCGCGCGGUAAUCUGACCGUUACGGCCCCUUUGAUACGAUACCGGUACGCGCGGUUACGGGCUCGCGCCCGCGUCCCCCUUUGUCCGCGGCGGCGACCCGAUCGUUAUAAAAAUAAACGCGCGCGCUCGCCCGCUCGUAAACUGCAGAAUGACAACAGUAAUAUAUUAUACGGGAUGUC